UACGUAGGGGCCGAGCGUUGUCCGGAGUUAUUGGGCGUAAAGCGCGCGCAGGCGGCUUCGCGCGUCCGACGUGAAAGCCCCCGGCUCAACCGGGGAGGGUCGUUGGGUACGGCGGAGCUUGAGGGCGGUAGAGGUUGGUGGAAUUCCCGGUGUAGUGGUGAAAUGCGUAGAGAUCGGGAGGAACACCUGUGGCGAAGGCGGCCAACUGGGCCGACCCUGACGCUGAGGCGCGAAGGCGUGGGGAGCGAACAGG
rnacentral:rRNA from 1 species